rnacentral:lncRNA from 13 species
UAAAGUAGUGUGGGAUAAGGGAGAAGUUAGGGUCCUAAAGUAGUGUGGGAUAAGGGUCCUAAAGUAGUGUGGGAUAAGGGUCCUAAAGUAGUGUGGGAUACGGGUCCUAAAGUAGUGUUUAAUUUGAGGGGAUUGCCUGUUUUUUCUAUAUUCCGUACAGCAUGUGAUAUUUCUCUAAGUAAAUGUUGAUGCUGAAGUCAUCUGGCCAUGUUGGAAAUGCUGACGUGAACAUUUAGACCUGAAGUUAUUCAUGGCCUGAUUCAGAAUAAUUCUCAAUGUACCGCUUUUAUUUUUAUGUGGUUGUUUCCCCAACUUGUAGAUUCA